rnacentral:rRNA from 1 species
ACUUCAACAGGGGUGAAAUCUGCAUAUACCAUGAAUUUUUUGAUUAAAGUACCUUUUAGGUGGUCAAAUGACUAGGAUUAGAUACCCUAUUAGUCCACUCUUAAUUAACCUGGGUAGUAGAAUCGAAACCUAAAGAAUCUGGCGGUUUCUAAACCUACUAGAGGAACCUGCCCCAUAAACGACAAUCCACGAAAAAAUUCACCCGGGCUAGUUAUGCAGCUUAUAUACCGUCGUUUAGAGGACUAAAUAAAUAGAUCCUCUUAAAAGCUUAGGCUAAUAAAUCAGAUCAAGGUGUAGCUCAUGCCCGGGAGAGGGUGGGUUACAAUGAAAAUUCAUACGGAGCUUUUAUUUUAUGAUAGAAAAGAAGGUGGAUUUAGAAGUAAGACUUAAUAUACUGAAAAAGGCUCUCAGAAAUGUACACAUCGCCCGUCGCUCUCUUGUCCGAAGAGAUAAGUCGUAACAAAGUAGGUGGACCGGAAGGUCUAUCUCGAAAGA